rnacentral:rRNA from 1 species
UUUUUGGUGAAAGUAAAAAGUAGGGUCUGCCCAGUGAGUAAUUUUAACGGCCGCAAUAUUUGUGCGAAGGUAGCAUAAUCAUUUGUCUUUUAAUUGAUGACUGGAAUGAAUGGCUGGACGGGGAUAAGCUGUCUUAUGUAUAUAUAUUUGAAAUUUACUUUUAAGUAAAAAGGCUUAAAUAUUUUAGAGGGACGAGAAGACCCUAUUGAGUUUAAUAGAAUUUAUUUAAAUUUUUCUUAAAUUUUUAUGUAAUCUAUUUAGUUGGGGAGAUUUGAUAUUAUUAACUAUAUAAGAAUUAAUAGACUUUAAGUUUUUAGGAUCCAUAUUUUAUGAGUGUUAAGGUAAAUUACCUUAGGGAUAACAGCGUAAUAUUUUUUUAGAGUUCAAAUCGAUUAAAAUGAUUACGACCUCGAUGUUGGAUUAAGGAACCUAAUUUGGAGAAGAUUUUAAUUUAGGUAGUCUGUUCGACUAUUAAAUCUUUAC